CGCAUAGCAAAAUACAGUUUGCCAUACUUUCCAAACAGAAAGUAUGCUCUAACUGUUACUGUUACUUUAAGACAAACAUUUGGUUUUCUGUUUAACAAUAUGAAGCCUGACGCUACACACCAAAGAGAACGUCUUUGAUAACGUAUACCAACUAGUAACAGUAUGUUAUAGUGUCGGCACAUUGUUUGACGUUAUGGAAAUAAAACUCGUGAGAAAUGGUGGCACUAUGGCAUCACCUCAAGUCAAACGGUCUGUACUCGCAGUAGCGCAACACACUAUCACAUAUGAGUUUCACAAUACAGUACUUAUUCACAACAAUCUGUCAUAUGGUUACAAGCAUUUGUAUUUGUAAAUGAAAUAUCCUAAGGUUUGCCGCUGCGCUGUCUGUCAGAUUAUUCAAGAAAAAAAAAGCAAAAAGUGCAAAUCUUGGAUUUCCGAACAAUUAAAAAAUACUUUGUCUCCGGCUCAACUGCGGAAUUUGCAAGUGCCUCCUAAACCGGAAUCGAAAGGUGGUGGGCCACAGGCCAUCGUGGCGGGCCAGCGCAACAGGCAACAAAAUUAAAGAUUUUUACCGACACAUUCCGGCGAAAUGACCAACGAAGUGGACUUCGGUGACACUCGGUUCCCUUUCGAAAGAAUGUCCGGUUUCCUCAUCUCGCUGCAAGAGCCGUAAGUGGCACUUCCAGGCCCGCAGGAAGCAGAUGUCGGUGCUCCUGUCUAAGAAUG